CCCCUAGAUGUCCUGGGCCGCACGCGCAAUACAAUGUAAAGUUCAGAAAGCAUAUCCUGUUCCGGAAGGCAAUGGGUAAUCUUUUCAAUAUUUUACGUGUUAGGGAUCGAUCUUUGCAAUUAUAGAUCUUGAACGAGGAAUACCUAGUAAGUGCAGCUCAUCAGGCUGUACUGAUUACGUCCCUGCCCUUUGUACACACCGCCCGUCGCUCCUACCGAUUUCGAGUGGUCCGGUGAGUCUUUUGGAAUUAGAGUGCAAACUCAAACUAAGAUCGAUAAACCUUAUCACUUAGAGGAAGGAGAAGUCGUAACA
rnacentral:rRNA from 1 species